rnacentral:rRNA from 1 species
UGUAAGCGUAUACCAAGUUGUUGCAGUUAAAACGCUCGUAGUCGGAAUUUGGCAGUUCCGGAUGUGUGCACGUCGUGUGCGCACUUCGCGGGGAUUGCUUUUGUGGUCUUGCGUAGGAUGAGGCACUUUUAUUAGUGAACGUCCUCACGCAACCACUUUUUACUGUGAGAAAAUCAGAGUGCUCAAAGCAGGCAUUUGCCGUGAAUGUAUUAGCAUGGAAUAAUAGAAUAGGACUUGGUUCUAUUUUGUUGGUUUGUUGGGACUGAGUAAUGAUUAAGAGGGACAGUUGGGGGCAUUUGUAUUUCGGUGCUAGAGGUGAAAUUCUUAGAUUACCGAAAGACAAACUGCUGCGAAAGCGUCUGCCAAGGAUGUUUUCAUUGA